AUUGAACGCUGGCGGCAGGCCUAACACAUGCAAGUCGAGCGGAGCGGCGGACGGGUGAGUAAUGCCUAGGAAUCUGCCUGGUAGUGGGGGAUAACGUACGGAAACGGGCGCUAAUACCGCAUACUACCAGAUGAGCCUAGGUCGGAUGAGCUAGUUGGAGGGGUAAAGGCCUACCAAGGCGACGAUCCGUAACUGGGCUGAGAGGAGGAUCAGUCACACUGGAACUGAGACACGGUCCAGACUCCUACGGUAGGCAGCGGUGGGGAGAAUUGGACCAGGGGCGAAGGCCUGAUCCAGCCAUGCCGCGUGUGUGAAGAAGGUCUUCGGAUUGUAAAGCACUUUUAGUUGGGAGGCGUUACCAACAGAAUAAGCACCGGCUAACUUCGUGCCAGCAGCCGCGGUAAUUC
rnacentral:rRNA from 1 species